GAUGAACGCUGGCGGCGUGCCUAAUACAUGCAAGUCGAGCGAACAGACGAGGAGCUUGCUCCUCUGACGUUAGCGGCGGACGGGUGAGUAACACGUGGAUAACCUACCUAUAAGACUGGGAUAACUUCGGGAAACCGGAGCUAAUACCGGAUAAUAUAUUGAACCGCAUGGUUCAAUAGUGAAAGACGGUUUUGCUGUCACUUAUAGAUGGAUCCGCGCCGCAUUAGCUAGUUGGUAAGGUAACGGCUUACCAAGGCAACGAUGCGUAGCCGACCUGAGAGGGUGAUCGGCCACCCUGGAACUGAGACACGGUCCAGACUCCUACGGGAGGCAGCAGUAGGGAAUCUUCCGCAAUGGGCGAAAGCCUGACGGAGCAACGCCGCGUGAGUGAUGAAGGUCUUCGGAUCGUAAAACUCUGUUAUUAGGGAAGAACAAAUGUGUAAGUAACUAUGCACGUCUUGACGGUACCUAAGCAGAAAGCCCCGGCUAACUACGU
rnacentral:rRNA from 1 species